rnacentral:piRNA from 1 species
UAUCAUUAUGCCUUUUCUUCCCUACAGAU